rnacentral:rRNA from 1 species
CGAAGCGUGCUGUUGGAGUGCACGUCCAAGCAGUGAGAUUGAGUGUUAGGCAAAUCCGGCACUCUUAAGAUUGAGCUGUGAUGGGGAGAGGAACUUGUUCCUCGAGUCGUUGAUUUCACACUGCCGAGAAAAGCCUCUAGCUAGAAUAACGGUGCCCGUACCGCAAACCGACACAGGUAGUCAAGAUGAGAAUUCUAAGGUGAGCGAGCGAACUCUCGUUAAGGAACUCGGCAAAAUGACCCCGUAACUUCGGGAGAAGGGGUGCUCUUUGAGGUUCACGCUUCGAAGAGCCGCAGUGAAUAGGCCCAAGCGACUGUUUAUCAAAAACACAGGUCUCUGCUAAACCGUAAGGUGACGUAUAGGGGCUGACGCCUGCCCGGUGCUGGAAGGUUAAGAGGAGUGGUUAGCGCAAGCGAAGCUACGAAUCGAAGCCCCAGUAAACGGCGGCCGUAACUAUAACGGUCCUAAGGUAGCGAAAUUCCUUGUCGGGUAAGUUCCGACCCGCACGAAAGGCGUAACGAUUUGGGCACUGUCUCAACGAGAGACUCGGUGAAAUCAUAGUACCGGUGAAGAUGCCGGUUACCCGCGACAGGACGGAAAGACCCCGUGGAGCUUUACUGUAGCCUGAUAUUGAAAUUCGGUACAGUUUGUACAGGAUAGGUAGGAGCCUUAGAAGCGUGAGCGCUAGCUUACGUGGAGGCAUUGGUGGGAUACUACCCUAAUUGUAUUGGAUUUCUAACCCGCAGCACUUAUCGUGCUGGGAGACAGUGUCAGGCGGGCAGUUUGACUGGGGCGGUCGCCUCCUAAAGAGUAACGGAGGCGCUCAAAGGUUCCCUCAGAAUGGUUGGAAAUCAUUCAUAGAGUGUAAAGGCAUAAGGGAGCUUGACUGCGAGACCUACAAGUCGAGCAGGGUCGAAAGACGGACUUAGUGAUCCGGUGGUUCCGCAUGGAAGGGCCAUCGCUCAACGGAUAAAAGCUACCCCGGGGAUAACAGGCUUAUCUCCCCCAAGAGUUCACAUCGACGGGGAGGUUUGGCACCUCGAUGUCGGCUCAUCGCAUCCUGGGGCUGUAGUCGGUCCCAAGGGUUGGGCUGUUCGCCCAUUAAAGCGGUACGCGAGCUGGGUUCAGAACGUCGUGAG